CGAUCCAUUAACCCGUUGAGCUGUACGGGCGCCAGACUGGUUUUGAGUAAUUGAUGAUAAUUUUGGACAAAUCUUUCCAUUUUAAAUUAGAGGUUUAAAAUGAAUCCGAGCAGCUUCUCUUCUGAAGACUGAAGCCUUUUCUAAUCUUAAAGACCUGAUUCAGCAGCAAGAUGUCUUCAGAUUCUGCAGCAGGAACAAAAGGAAGCCAGAUGAAAACAGAUGAUUUCUAUAUAUAUUUUAAGGCACUCUGUGAGGCGAUGGAACGUGUGAUAGCGGCUUCAUAAAGAGCUCCGGUUGGUUCCACUCUGCAGGAGCUUCUGGACCGAUAAGAACCAGAUCUGAGGCCGGGAGGACGAGAGGUUUUCCUGCUUAUGCCAGCAGGUUGGAAGUGAUUAUGUUGCUGUCUGCUGGUGACGGUGUGUAUGGAGGCCUGACAGCAGCCAGCGGCUCUGCUCAUUAAUGCACUGUACUGUUGUCAACUAAAGCCUGACAUGCCCUUUACCAUCCCACUGCAGGCACAGCAGCUAACGCUCUGCUUUUGUCAUAUUUUAAUAUUUCAUCACAUUCAGCUGCUCUGCUCCAGCCGCUACGUUACACAGUUACACACUCCUGUUUAUUAAAAUCUCAUCAUUUCUACACAAAGCUCACCUUCAUUAGAGCUAAUGAGGUGAGGAGCAUUCAUUUCACAUCUCAGACCACCUUAAAAAAACGAGACCACGACAAAAAUGAGACACAAAACGACAAAAACAAGACAAUAAAUGACAAAAAUGAGGCACUAAAUGACAAAAUAAGACACUAAACGACAAAAACGAGACACAACGACAAUUAAUUGACAAUGACAAUAUAUUAAACAGGAAUAACCAGGAAUUACAGCUGAUCUACAGCAUUAAAAAAUAAAUAUUAAACUUUCAAAUCAAAAAAUUAUAAAACUCUAAUAAUAAAAAUAAAAGUGGUAAAAAUCCAUUAUAUUGCUGUAAAUGUAAUACUGGCCAAAUCUGUUUUAUUUAGAGUUGAACCAUAAAUGAACAGAAACUAUUUUCUGUUUUUUAGUUACACUUGAGUUACACUAAGUGAUAUUUGCCAUUUUUUUUUGGAUCUAUUAUUUAGAGCACAGACCACUUUGCUGAUGUUUAUUACUUUUAAUUUUUUAUCAUGGAUUUAAAUUUUAAAGAAAACUUAAAGCUCACAGCAGCUGUUUAUGUUUGAUGUGUUGUUCUAAUGGAAUUAAAGCUAAAAACCGACAUUAUCCUGGAUUUACAGCGUCAUAGUUCUGGUGUUUCUGACUGUAUUUACAGCCUUUAAGUGUCACAUUUUAAAGCAGAGUUCCUGUGAAUCUAAUUAAAGCAGUGAAUGUGAUGAAGUCCCUGAUGGCCGAACGGAGCCGUCUUUACCCUGCAGUCACUCCAUCAGCUUAAUUACUUCCACUCAGAAUUUAUCAAGUAAUUUGACUGAGUUUCAAUUAAAAUCCAGCCUGUGAACGUUCCGGCGUUCCUCAGCUGAUCUCUGUUAUUCCAGCAGGAGAUGUGAAGGUUUGAGCUGUUUGCUGGGCAGAAGAACUAAUCCUCCGACUAGAAAGGUCUGCGUAACCUUUCUAACACAAUUUCACAAAAGACUGCUCUGUUUGUUCUGCUCGCAGAAAUAAAGCUAAU
ensembl:lncRNA